rnacentral:rRNA from 1 species
AUUGAACGCUGGCGGCAGGCUUAACACAUGCAAGUCGAGCGGAGAGAGGUAGCUUGCUACCGAUCUUAGCGGCGGACGGGUGAGUAAUGCUUAGGAGUCUGCCUAUUAGUGGGGGACAACAUUUCGAAAGGAAUGCUAAUACCGCAUACGUCCUACGGGAGAAAGCAGGGGAUCUUCGGACCUUGCGCUAAUAGAUGAGCCUAAGUCGGAUUAGCUAGUUGGUGGGGUAAAGGCCUACCAAGGCGACGAUCUGUAGCGGGUCUGAGAGGAUGGUCCGCCACACUGGGACUGAGACACGGCCCAGACUCCUACGGGAGGCAGCAGGGGGGAAUAUUGGACAAUGGGCGCAAGCCUGAUCCAGCCAUGCCGCGUGUGUGAAGAAGGCCUUAUGGUUGUAAAGCACUUUAAGCGAGGAGGAGGCUACUUUAGUUAAUACCUAGAGAUAGUGGACGUUACUCGCAGAAUAAGCACCGGCUAACUCUGUGCCAGCCGCCGCCGUAAAAC